rnacentral:rRNA from 1 species
AACUAUGUCCACCAGGGAAGAUAAAAGACUGUACCUGUGAGAAAGCUCGCUAACUACGUGCCAGCAGCCGCGGUAAUACGUAGGGAGCAAGCGUAUCCGGAAUUAUUGGGUGUAAAGGGUGCGUAGACGGGAUAACAAGUUAGUUGUGAAACCCCUCGGCUCAACUGAGGAACUGCAACUAAAACUAUUAUUCUUGAGUGCAGGAGAGGAAAGUGGAAUUCCUAGUGUAGCGGUGAAAUGCGUAGAUAUUAGGAAGAACACCGGUGGCGAAGGCGACUUUCUGGACUGUAACUGACGUUGAGGCACGAAAGUGUGGGGAGCAAACAGGAUUAGAUACCCUGGUAGUCCACACUGUAAACUAUGGAUACUAGGUGUAGGAGGUAUUAAGCCUUCUGUGCCGUCGCAAACGCAGUAAGUAUCCCACCUGGGGAGUACGACCGCAAGGUUGAAACUCAAAGGAAUUGACGGGGGCCCGCACAAGCAGUGGAGUAUGUGGUUUAAUUCGAAGCAACGCGAAGAACCUUACCAGGGCUUGACAUACAAGUGAAUGGCUAAGAGAUUAGUCAGUAUUUCGGUACACUUGUACAGGUGGUGCAUGGUUGUCGUCAGCUCGUGUCGUGAGAUGUUAGGUUAAGUCCUGCAACGAGCGCAACCCCUAUACUUAGUUGCCAGCACGUAAAGGUGGGAACUCUAGGUAGACUGCCGGUGAUAAAUCGGAGGAAGGUGGGGACGACGUCAAAUCAUCAUGCCCUUUAUGUCCUGGGCUACACACGUACUACAAUGGCUAUAACAAAGAGAAGCGAGACGGAGACGUUAAGCGAAACCCAAAAAAGUAGUCUCAGUUCGGAUUGAAGGCUGAAAUUCGCCUUCAUGAAGCCGGAAUUGCUAGUAAUGGCAGGUCAGCAUACUGCCGUGAAUACGUUCCCGGGCCUUGUACACACCGCCCGUCACACCAUGAGAGUUGGGAAUACCCGAAGCCUGUGAGCUAACGAAAGAGGCAGCAGUCGA